GUCAGGAUGGCCGAGCGGUCUAAGGCUCCAGACUCAUGUUUCCAAACUUGCUCCGCUAAUGCGGAGCCAAACGGCGUUCAGGUCCACUAAUGUGGGCGUGGGUUCCCAUCCCACUCCUGACA